rnacentral:rRNA from 1 species
AACCUGCCUUGUANCGGGGGNGUAACAUUGGAAACGAUAGCUAAUACCGCNUAACAAUGGAUGACACAUGUCAUUUAUUUNAAAGGGGCAAUUGCUCCACUACAAGAUGGACCUGCGUUGUAUUAGCUAGUAGGUGAGGUAAUGGCUCACCUAGGCGACGAUACAUAGCCGACCUGAGAGGGUGAUCGGCCACACUGGGACUGAGACACGGCCCAGACUCCUACGGGAGGCAGCAUG